GACGAACGCUGGCGGCGCGCUUAACACAUGCAAGUCGAACGGAAAGGCCUGCAUUCCCUUUUGGUUUGCGGGUACUCGAGUGGCGAACGGGUGAGUAAUACGUGAGUGAUAUGCCCCCAACUUGGGUAUAAGCCUGGGAAACUGGGGCUAAUUCUCGAUAGGACUGCAGGGUGCUGCCUGGUGUGGGAAACGAUGUUCUAGUGGCUGGGGAUGAGCUUGCGGCCUAUCAGCUUGUUGGUGGGGUAAUGGUCUACGAAGGCGGCGACGGGUAGGCGGCGUGGGAGGGUGGAAGGCGGAAUUGGGACUGGGACACGCCCCAGACGGCGGCGGGAGGAGGCAGUGGGGGGUAAUGGACGAUAGGCGGAAGGCUGAAGCAGCGACGCCGCGAGGAGGUUGUCGGACUUCAAGAUGUAGUCUCCUUUCGACAGCGAGGAAGCCACCUGGUUGGACAGGUGGUGACGGUAGUGAUAGAAGAAGCACCGGCUAACUACGUG
rnacentral:rRNA from 1 species